AUAGUGUUUUGUUCUUCUUAUAUUGUGGUGCCCAAAACUGCGCACUACUCAAGCUUCCAGUCGACUGGGACCUCUCCAUAUUCCCAAGACCAUUGAAAAUUAAUUGAGAGAAGUCUUGCGAUGACAUCAGCCAGCUUUCUGAGUAUCCUGGGAUGAAUCCCAUUGGGCCCCAUAGACUUGUAUGCAUCUAGCUGGAGCAGCAAAUCCUGCACAAAUUCCUGGUUGGCUGGGAGUUUAUAGUUAUCGCGGUCAUGAUCCUCCAACUCAGGGUUCCGGGGGUCCCAGGGCCCAUCAUCGGUGUUGAAGAUGGAGGCAAAGAAGGCAUUAAACGUCUCUGCUUUGUCUACGUCCCUAUUUGUGAGCUGACCGUCCUCAUUAAGUAAUAGACCAGUGUUUUCUCUGGUCCUCCUUUUGUUGUUAACACACUUUUAUAAAGCCCUUUUUAUUGUCCCCCGCAGUACUGGUCAGCUUCAACUCUAAUUGUACUUUGACCACACAAUUUUUCUCCCCACAAUGGUGAACAGCAUCUCUGUAGUCCUCCCACGUCACACGACCUCGCUUCCAGUGGCCAUACACUUUUUUUUCCCACCUAAGCUCUAGAAGAUCCCUGCUCAGGCAAGCUGGCCUUCUACCCCGCCUGCUUGACUUCUGACAUUUUGGAAUUGCCUGUUCCUGUGCUCUUAAGAGGUGGUACUUAAAAAGUGACCAGCACUGAUGGACCCCGAUGUCUUCAAAAGCAGUUUCCCAGGGGACCUUACUAACUAGUUCCCUGAGCAGCCUGAAGUCUGCUCUCCCCAUAUCCAGGGUCCAAAUUUUGCUGGUAGUCUUCCUCCUGUCACCAAAUAUUUUAAACUCAGUUAUGCUGCUAUAAAGCUGUUAGGAGCCAUAAACAUUGUUAACUGUUAAAUUUGACAAUUUUGAAAUUUUGAAUCUCUUUUGAAAAAAGUAAGGUAUAAAUGCCUAAACAGACGGACUCUAUGUAAAUCAGAUUGAAAUGGCUAAUAAACUACUUUGUCAGGUAGUAAUGCGUGGAGACCUCUACCAUGCUUAAAUUAUCUUCUGUCACAGUAGUUUUAUGACCAUGAGAUAAGCAUGAGAAAUAUAAAACAGCUCUCCUGGCUUGGAACGCAUAAAUAAGUGUCCUGAAUACUAUGGGGGAUGAUCUCCAUGCUGAUUCAGUGAAGGUAAUGAAUGUAAUGCCUUAAGGUUGCAUUUGAUCUGUUUCAGUAUUUCCAUGCAUUAUAAAGAUUGUAUAGAUCAUCUCUUUGGUUGAAGUCCUAGUUCUGCUGAAAACAAACAUAGCAAUCCUUCUCAUUCAUCAUGUUGAGAUUAUUUUUACUCUCAGUGUCUCAAGGCAAAUGUCAGAUGAAUGUUUUGUGUGUGUGUGUGUGUUCUUGGGAUGUCUGCUUCCCAAACACUGUUCUUACAGCUCCUGUUAUCAUGCAGGAUUCUAAACCGGAUGUUAAGCCAGUACUUGAGGAGAUAUGUCGUCUUGAAACCCUACAGAUUGCAGUAGAUUGAAACACUGUAAGAGGCCAUCACCUCUAAUCAGGGGAGGCAAUAACACCUGAGUGGCAUUAAACUGUUUCUGCUUGCUAUUUAAUAAAAGCAAUAAGUAGAAUCAGUAUCACUUUUAUGGGGAUUUUCUUGGAAAACAUUUAUUCUUUAUGAUUGUCUAUUAAGACUGUAAUUUGAUGUAAAGCUCUUAGAUGAUUACUCUUUGUUGCAUUAAAGGUUAAGGUAAUUGGGAGUGAAGCCCAAUUAGUCAUUAUAAGUCUGGUUGCGUUCAGUGUACUGAACUAUCACGAUUAUGGAUGCACAAAUAACAUAAUAUACCCUCAGUCUAGUCACAUUCCAUGAACUACCACGGCCACACUUAAAAGAGUUUGGUCAUGUUCCAUGAGAACUACCAUGGCUAGAUUAAUGAGCAGUGCAAUUUAUUAAAACAAUAGAUACAUGGGUUCUUUGGAUUGCCAAUGAUAAAUUCACUGUCUGCAAAGCAUGUGCAAAUACCAAAAGUAUGAGUAACACAGCCUGGCUACAAACACGUUAAAAUAUAUAAAGAUAUGAAGCAACUCUAUAGAGAUUUCUAAGUUUCCUGGGGAGGCGCUUGGUAUAACCAAGUGUUUGAAUCUUACCCAAAGGCAUCCCAAUGGGGGGGGGGGGGGCGGGGGGGAAGAGAGGCUCAGCCCGUUGACUGAUCCCAAAAGUCAGAAGGUAUCUUUUGAGAUAAUAUCUUUUCCUUUGUGAUGAUAUCUUCCCUAACAUCCUCUCUCCCUUAAGCUAAUUUAUAUCUUUUUUUUUAUCAGUCAGGUGGAGCUUGAGUGACUCUAGUCAUGCAUACCUUUGUUACGAUUGGUGCUAAAUUUUCUUGCUUUUGCUUAAAGGUAUAGGAUCAGAGAAAUUCAGAGCACAUGCUCAGUGAAGGGGUGUUCGCACCUUGGAGGCGGGUAGCCUUUGGGAUGGAGGUGUGUUUUGGUAUUAUAAUGAUAUUAUAAUGAGCAAAGUUCACCAAAAGGACAGCAUUUUGUCAAAAACAUGUCAGGCCGUUGGCCCAGGGUAGCAAAUAUGCAGCUUAUUGGUUCCGAUGUACCUCUGAGUUCCCAUCUUAUCACAGAGCCUGGCCACAGCGUCUCCACUCCACUCCACCUUCCGUACAGUUCCUCUUAGAGUCAGCACACCAAGUUCCCCUGGUGUGGACAACAUCUAAGGUUGGAGGCCUAGGGAAGUUCUAUGGAAUGCAGCUACACUCCACCCUGGAAGCUUCUUCAGUGCCUUUUCUUAAAAUUGUGAAUAUAAGCUUAAUUUCUAAGUCAUCUCAGGCAAUUAUUCCACAUAAUCCACUCCGUGACUAUAGUCACUCAAGCUUCAUGACAUUUGAAAUAUAUCAGGUGUAUCACAUAUGAUGAGGAUUAUCGAGUAUAUGUACGUCUUGUAGGGAUGCUACAAGUUUCAUCAUGAUCCAUAGUUUAACAUACAGGGAUUGUCAAUAUGAAAGACAAUGCAGUGAGUAUUAAUAAAACAAUGACAGGAUGAA